rnacentral:rRNA from 1 species
UACGUAGGGUGCAAGCGUUGUCCGGAAUUAUUGGGCGUAAAGAGCUCGUAGGCGGUCUGUCGCGUCGAAUGUGAAAACCCGGGGCUCAACUCCGGGCUUGCAUUCGAUACGGGCAGGCUAGAGUUCGGUAGGGGAGUCUGGAAUUCCUGGUGUAGCGGUGAAAUGCGCAGAUAUCAGGAGGAAUACCCAUAGCGAAGGCAGCUCGCUGGGACGUUACUGACGCUGAGGCGCGAAAGCGUGGGGAGCGAACAGG